GUUAGGAAUAUUGGACAAUGGGCGAAAGCCUGAUCCAGCCAUGCCGCGUGAACGAUGAAGGCCUUCGGGUUGUAAAGUUCUUUAGCCGAUGAUUAUAAUGACUGUAGUCGGAAAAUAAGCCCCGGCUAACUUCGUGCCAGCAGCCGCGGUAAUACGAAGGGGGCGAGCGUUAUUCGGAAUCACUGGGCGUAAAGCGUGCGUAGGCGGUUUUGUAAGUUAGGAGUGAAAGCCCAGGGCUCAACCUUGGAAUUGCUCUUAAAACUGCAAGGCUCGAAUCUCGGAGAGGAUAGCGGAAUUUCCAGUGUAGCAGUGAAAUGCGUAGAUAUUGGCAGGAACACCAGUGGCGCAAGCGGCUAUCUGGACCGAUAUUGACGCUGAGGCACGAAAGCGUGGGGAGCAAACAGGAUUAGAAACCCGGGUAGUCC
rnacentral:rRNA from 1 species